CCCUUAGACGUUCUGGGCCGCACGCGCGCUACACUGACCAGUGCAACAAGCAUCCGUCCUUGGCCGACAGGCCCGGGCAAUCUUUGAACGCUGGUCGUGAUGGGGAUAGACUUUUGCAAUUUUUGGUCUUCAACGAGGAAUUCCUAGUAAACGCAAGUCAUCAACUUGCAUUGAUUACGUCCCUGCCCUUUGUACACACCGCCCGUCGUACCUACCGAUUGAAUGGUCCGGUGAAGCCUCCGGAUUGGCGCGCACCUCGGUGCCGCCGAGAAGUUGGCUAAACCUUACCAUUUAGAGGAAGGUGAAGUCGUAACA
rnacentral:rRNA from 1 species